rnacentral:rRNA from 1 species
AAUCAUGGCUCGGGAUGAACGCUAGCUACAGGCUUAACACAUGCAGGUCGAGGGGCAGCAUGGUCUUAGCUUGCUAAGGCCGAUGGCGACCGGCGCACGGGUGAGUAACACGUAUCCAACCUGCCGUCUACUCUUGGACAGCCUUCUGAAAGGAAGAUUAAUACAAGAUGGCAUCAUGAGUCCGCAUGUUCACAUGAUUAAAGGUAUUCCGGUAGACGAUGGGGAUACGUU